AAUACAUACAGAACCAGCCAGCAGCAGGCGAGCAUUCGUUUUCACUCAGAAAUGCUGCUGCCUUUGUAAAUCAUGGAGAGUAAAACUAAAAAGCAAUGCCCCUUCCUCUCCACCAAGAGUCGGAUGGCCAGGAGUUUCUUGCUGUCUAUGAAGAAAUGGAGAAACUGAGGUUAAGUAACUCACCCAAGGUCACACAGCUAGUAGAUCGCAGUGACAAGACUUGAGCGCAGAAAACCUGAUUCCAAAGUCCACGGGCUUAACCACUACUCCAUGCUGCCAUCUGCAGGAAGAGGAAAGGGAACCGACAAGCUAUUUCCAGGGCGUCACAAACACCUAAUGAAAUGUGGACAUUUCGCUACAAAAGACAGCUGGCUCACAAAGACCCAACCAACUAGUUAAAUAAAGGGAAAGCACUGUUUUUUGUGUUAUUUCUAUUUUAUGUUGUGAUGUAUUGCUUUAUUGAAUGAUUAAUGUUUAAAUGACCACAUGCAUUAAUGGCUAUUAAUAAAUAUAGCUGGUUUUAAAAAGC
rnacentral:lncRNA from 10 species